GACGAACCGUGCGAACGUUAUUCGGAAUCACUGGGCUUAAAGCGCGUGUAGGCGGCCCGGCACGUCCGUCGCUGAAAUCCCCCGGCUCAACCGGGGAAGUGGUGCCGAAACGACCCGUCUGGAGGGACGUAGGGGGACCUGGAACUUCCGGUGGAGCGGUGAAAUGCGUUGAGAUCGGAAGGAACGCCCGUGGCGAAAGCGAGGUCCUGGACGUCUACUGACGCUGAGACGCGAAAGCUAGGGGAGCAAACGGG
rnacentral:rRNA from 1 species